ensembl:lncRNA
AUGGGCUGCUCUUCGUCCAGCACGCAGACGCUCGCGCAGGAGAACCGACCGGGCGUCAAAGCGGAGGAGGCGAGCGGAGAAACUCUGCUCUCUCGUAAUGGGAUUGUAGCAGAAGACAGCGAGACCGUCUCCGAUAAGAUGCUGAAUGAGAUGGGUGCCGGACCGGAAGAGACGGUGGAGGAUGUCCAGCCUGUGGCCUCAGAAGCAGAGCAGCCAAUGGUCAGCGCCAAUGAUGCUCCUCUGGAGGAGAGAGAUCCAGCAGACGCUCCUGAAACAUCGAGUCCUGAAGCUCCUGCUGAAGAGCAGCGAGAUGUUCAUGCUGCAUCAGAACCCAGUGACACUACGUCUGCAGAACCCUCUCUAGCUGUGGAACCAGCAUCAGAUCUCAGCAGCACUCCAGAACCCAAUCCAACUGAGCUAACAGCAGCUCCAGAAGCCCUGUCAGACGCGAGCUCGGAGCCCACACUAGAGCAACCAACUCCAGCUCCAGAACCCAUUCCAGUGGAAGUUAGCCCUGUUCCAGAGCUCACUGUGUCUGAGCCUGUCGCGAGUGCAGAAUCAGCUUCUGCUGAGGAUCCGACUGUGUCUCCAGAACCCACUGCAGUGGAACCAAGCCCAGCUCUAGAGUCAACUCCAGCUCCAGAACCCACGGCCGAGGAACCGAGUCCAGCUCCAGAACCCACGACUGAGGAACCGAGUCCAGCUCCAGAACCCACGUCCGAGGAACCGAGACCAGCUCCAGAACCCACGACUGAGGAACCGAGUCCAGAACCCACGGCCGAGGAACCGAGUCCAGCUCAAGCGACUGAGGCAGCGGUGGUCUCACAGGCUGCAGAGGAGAAUGCGACCUGCGCAGACGCUUCAGAGGGAGCGGCCGGUGAGGAGAUCGCAGCAGAUGCGGCUGUGCUCGGUGAAGACGGAGCUGAUCUGAAAUCCACAGAACCUGCAGAAUGAUGUCAAUAUGUUCUUGUGACACUGUAAGACGUGCCUUGUAUUUCAGUAGACAUGAGGGUUUGGGCUUCACAUAAGUUUGUACAUAAAUUAGUGUUUCUAAGUAGCAUCAUCAUCAUUAGCAUUGUUGUUAAAAGCCACAGAAAUGCCUCUGAGAGCGCAGGGUCCCGUGGGUAACCGGCUGAGCGUGGGACGAAUGUUUGUGCUUCUGGAUAAAAUCACAGCAUCAUGUCCUCAUCUUCAACUGAGUCAAACACAAAAGCAAUAUUAACUCAUCUGAACAAACACGAGCCAAAACUCAAUAACUGUGAAUGAGCCAAAUUAUGCUUAAUAAUGUGUCUUUUAAUGGGUCAGAAGGGCUUCGUCUCUUUUAUCUAUUUAGUGCAUUUUUCACCUCAGACUGCAGAUGAAAAGCAGUUUGACUCUUUACUUGCAUUAAUCAAUGAUGCAGAACGCUAGCAUAUUAAUCAAUAGUAUAUGUUGUUGGUUUAUUUUAUUAUAGUUUGUGGUGAUUGAUAGUUACACUUAAACUCCAGAGCACUAAUAAAGCUCAUCUGAUCAGCUUUAAACCGAGACCU